GCCGCCGUAGCUCAGCUCGGUAGAGCGCCGGCCUCGUAUCGGGUACUUGAUUACCGGAGUCGGGAAAGCCGGUGGUCGCGGGUUCAAAUCCCGCCGGCGGCU
rnacentral:tRNA from 1 species